UUGGUGAUUUUGCUGCUUAAAGUAGCCCCAAGCAUAGUUCAGAAGUGUCUAGUGUUCCUAAGUGUGGAAAGGCUGUAAGGUACCUUGCAGAGAAAAUUUGUAAUGUUAGUUUCUUCAAGCAUGAGUUGUGGUGCUGAUGGCUGUGAGUUCAAUAUUAAUGAAUCAACAAUAUGUGUUAAAUGACAUGUCUUUAAACAGAAACACACAUAAAGCAAAGUUCUAUAUUGGUGAGAUGAUGUGACUAGAGAGGCCUGUAGGAACCUAGUCCUGUUUCUCCCCUAGGAGCAAUGGUUCAGUAUUGGCUAAUACGGCAUUCACGGCAACUUCUGAAAACAUAACUACUGCAGAUGAUGUGACGCGAUGGGAUGUCAUUUGCGCCUGGAUGUUACGACUUUAGGAAUUUAAGAAAUAAUUUCAGGAUAAUGUCUAGAUGGAGACUUACAACUGUACCAGAGUGUGACGUAGGCCUCCAGGAAAUGCGUUCUUCUGGUUUAAUUCCUCUCAUCCUUCAGGACAGACCUCUGGUCUAGCAGUACCUUUCCUGGGCCAGGCACAGUGGCUCGCACCUGUAAACCCAGAACUUUGGGAGGCCGAGAAAAGGAACAAGCAGCAAAUGUGUGGAAGUACUCAGGAAGAAGGCAGAAGCCCUAAUGAUGCGAUCUGAGGACCACGUUGGACACGUGAAGCCAGAUGCAGUGAAAAGUUGUGAGCUGGUGUUUGAAAGUGAUUUACAACAAGUUGGCAUCCGCUUGCCAGCUUGUGUUCACAUGGACAUCUGCCCUGCAGAACUGCAGAAUGGCUUAGAACACCGGUUCUGGUUUCAGGUGGACGUUGUUCACCCCUUCAUGGGUGUGGGACCUUGGGUGAGUCCUCGCUCCGUGCCCACCUGUCUUUCUUGGAUAAAGGUGAUAAUCGAUCCCACUUUACUUGUGAGGAUUCAGUGAGAUGAUUGAUGAUGUUUCUUAGCUCAGUUUCCAGAAGAGUGGGCACUCAAAAAAUUGUCUCUUGAAGUAUUUACAUGAACAGCUAUUCUAUAAAGACUCAAAAUUUACUAUUGAAUGUAAAUCUGGGAUGCAGAAUUGGUUUUUUAGGUGAUUUAUUUUUCAUUUAUGAAGGCGUGCACCAUAGAAUUCCUGCAGAGAAUGGGGAUAGAAACCUCCCUGUUAAUGCAUUUAAAAAUAUUUGAUUUGCAAAAAAUUCAGUAUACUUUA
rnacentral:lncRNA from 1 species